UACGUAGGGUGCGAGCGUUAAUCGGAAUUACUGGGCGUAAAGCGUGCGCAGGCGGUUUGGCAAGUCAGAUGUGAAAUCCCCGAGCUCAACUUGGGGACUGCGUUUGAAACUGCCAGACUAGAAUAUGUCAGAGGGGGGUAGAAUUCCACGUGUAGCAGUGAAAUGCGUAGAGAUGUGGAGGAAUACCAAUGGCGAAGGCAGCCCCCUGGGAUAAUAUUGACGCUCAUGCACGAAAGCGUGGGGAGCAAACAGG
rnacentral:rRNA from 1 species